AUUCAAUAUAUUUCAGUGUUUGUUAUUGGUGUAUCAAAAACAUUGAUGUACGAAUAUAAUUUCAUAAAUUUGAAACGUUUAAAAUGAUUGCAUACCAAUAUAAAGAACCGUUCAUCAUUUUUGAAAAAGACAAUGAAUGAAAAUCGAAUUACAUAUCUUCCCUUGAUGAUAGAUUGAUUGGGAAAUGAACCAGAGUUAUCUAAUGGUAAUCACAGAGAGGGACUAGCAAGC
rnacentral:lncRNA from 1 species